rnacentral:rRNA from 1 species
AUUGAACGCUGGCGGCAGGCCUAACACAUGCAAGUCGAGCGCGCGGCGGACGGGUGAGUAAUGUAUGGAACUCUGCCCGAUAGAGGGGGAUAACUACUGGAAACGGUGUCUAAACCCGUAUACUACCGGAUGCACCAAUAUGGGAUUGGCUAGUAGGUGGGGUAAAGGAGCACCUAGGCGACGAUCUCUAGCGGGUCUGAGAGGAGGACCAGCCACCCUGGAACUGAGACACGGUCCAGACUCCUACGGGAGGCAGAAGUGGGGAAGAUUGCACAAUGGGCGCAAGCCUGAUGCAGCCAUGCCGCGUGUAUGAAGAAGGCCUUAGGGUUGUAAAGUACUUUCAGCGGGGAGGCGUUACCCGCAGAAGAAGCACCGGCUAACUCCGUGCCAGCAGCCGCGGUAAUUC